CAGGGGGCAGCUGAAAACCCUGAAUAGAGUAGGCG
rfam:Chitinophaga jiangningensis strain DSM 27406 genome assembly, contig: Ga0131168_106